CGCUACUCCAAAUGGAUUACACGCGAUGAACUGCAGAUUUUGGUCAUAGCAGAUGGACCUAUCGACCUUCAUGGCCAAGCUGGGCAGCCGACACCAACCCAGCUCAGCACCUCCCCAGCCGCUUCCAGGCCAGGCUGCCAAUGCCACCCUCGGCCAGCACUGCCUCCCCGGCUGCAUCCAGUCCGACCUACCAACCUUCAUCGCCAGGCCGGGUGGCCAAUGCCAGCUGCUUCCAGGUCAAACCUACUGUCGCCAUCACUGGCCCACACAACUUCCUCAGCCGUGACUGCUGAUGCCACCACCACCAACUCUUACCUGCAUUUCAGCCACCCGCAGGCCAUGACCAAUGACUCACCUCUUCCCUGGCCGUCAGCAAACCGGGGUCAUCAACCAACCUGGAUUCCAGACCCUGUUCCAGACUGAGAAUCUGAAGAAGGGUCUCAACCUGAAACUUCACCUAUCCAUGCUCUCCAGAGGUGCUGCCUCACCUGCUGAGUUACUGGAACUCAGAGGCCUGUACACAACCUCCCCAAUGUUUCCCUCUCUCCCGCUGCUAGCUGGCUCUAUUUAAACUGAUUCCAGAGCAAAAUAUAAACUGCUGGUGGAAGUCAGCGGGCCAAACAUCAUCUGUGGAGGCUGAGGGAUGGCCGAUGUUUGGGUCAAGACUCUGCACCAGGAUUGAGAAUGGAAACUUAGUAAUGUAGUGUCAAGCUACCAACCUCACCCUCAAUGUCAGCAAGUCAAAGAAGCUUGUUAUCGAUUUCAGGAAGCAUGGCGGAAUACAUCCCCCAGUCAGCAUCAAUGGUGUGAAAGUGGAAGUGCAAAAGUACAGAAUUUCCUCAUUACUCCAACAGCUCUUACUGAAUUUUGCAGAUAUACCAUAGAAAGUAUACUAUCUGGUUGCAUCACAGCCUGAUUUGGAAAUAGCUCUGUGAAGACCGCAAGAAAUUGCAGAGAUGUGAAUGUCAAUCACACUCCCCACCAUUUAAUCCAUCUACACCAUGUUGUCUUGUAAAAGGAGCCAACAUAAUCAAGGACCGAUUUUCUCUCUAUGGGUAAGCAGUUUCAGGGUUGGAGGUGGAGGAAGCAGGCUGUCUGCCUGAGGCAUAGAUUGUGACCCAAAAUCAUAGCCUUCUCAGCAUUUAAUUAGAGGAAAUUUCAACGCCCAGUUAGAUAUAAGAAUUUAUUAACCCAGAACCAAAUUAAUUUAAUUGUCCUAUUACCACCUGCUAUUAGCCUUCAUCCUUUGUUAUUUAAUCUUUCUUGCCUUCCAACCCAUUUUGGACUUUUCCUUAUAUGUACCUCAUCCAAUACCAAAAUCUCUGCUCCUCUUCCCCACAAAAAUACUUUCCAAAGAAUAGGUAGUCUUCUUGCUCUUUCUAACUAUAAAUGUCACCUCACAUGUAAACUAAUGCCGGUUUCACACCAUUUCUCCACCCUAAAUGUUGAUCAUAUUUUUGAAUAUUUUGAAACCAAGCUUCAAGCCUGAGCCAAGUUGUUUACAUAUGUGGCAUAGAAAUGUAUUUAUGCAAGAACAACUUCUGAGCUUUUAUCAUUCUGAAUAACUACCUUGAACUGUACCUUUUUGUACAGCCAUUUUAACAUUCCUUAUGCCCCUUGCUCCAAAUAACCAGAGUCCUGAAUCUCAUCCAAUUACAUCUACAAUAUUACAGGUUGUUACUAAUUUAAGUACAUUAACUUAAGGACAUCCUCAAUGAGUUCAUAAUAUUGUUAUAUUCAAAAGUCCAGAGUAUGUAUAUACUUUAGUUCCUGCUAACGGCAUAACUAGUUUCCGCUCUUUCUCCACUUUUAGUAACCGUUCAGUCUUGUAUUUUUGAUGCCAUUCAUUGCAAUAUGGUGGAGGUACCAUUACCAAGAGUGAUGUUUGUGUAUUUUCUGACUUACAAACAAAAUUGACGUCUGUAAAAAAUCGGACGAGUUCAUUACUCGAUAUAAUGGCAGUUUUUACAACGUUUGAAGUCCAACUUUGAUAGCCAUUCAUUAUCGUAGAUGAUUUGGAGAUAUAGCCUAACGCACUCACGACGCACUUGACAGCAAAGAUGAGUCUUCCAGACGUUGUUUCCUGCUUAAUUGCUUUUUUAUUGAAGUAAUACAAAACAAAGAAAUAACUCAUAACUUUCUGUUCUUAAUCGCUAUUCCGUUCAUAUCACAUAAAUCACAUAAAAGCUUCUUCUUAUAAAGGUAUGUCUCGUAACACGUGUGUGUCGUGAUCAUGGUAGAAAACUGUUUCCCCUCAUUCUCCGGCACCAAACAGAAACUUCUAAUCUGAGAGUCUGCGCCAGACUCCUCUAAUAAAAGAACACACCCCUACUACGUAUCAAAUCCCACCUACAAAAGUACAGGCAGGUAAAAACUAAAAUAAAAAAUAUCAGACAUGAUAAUAAUACUGACUUAAGCUUAAUGGCUCGUACAUACCGGCCCCUAAUUGUUCUGAGUAUACAACGAGGCAAUUACCAAUAAACAUUAAAAUAGGAGCUAUAAAGGCUUAACAUAUCUCAAAUAUCAAAAGUAAUAAGCAUUAUGCAUUAGCAUUCAGACUUCUUUAGCGAUUCCUUCAUCUUCGCCUUCUAAAAGCAGACGUAGAUUGGUUAUCAGUCUUACCAAGAUGUUGUUCUUAGUCUGAAGUCGUCCUGUACGCAUCAAAGCCUUAAUGUGUGGCAUGAUCUCCAGUAUCUUUCCCAUCAACCAAGAACAUCGUGGUGCAGUAGAAUCAACCACCAAAAUGAUAUCACCUGGAAUAACAUUUCUUCUAAUCC